UACUUGGGAGCCAGCUUGAAAUUCCUAUGGAUAGCAGAUAUACUGAUGGGAUAUCUCAUGGUUUCUUCAGGAACAAUAGAUAGCUUGCAGCAUCAGGAUUUUGGAUUUUUACUUGUUGUGCACAAGCCUCAGCUUAGCAUGACUUUUCCAGAUCUUACUAUAGUCUUUUAACAGACUUACGAUAAUUAUUGGGGUGCUCAUAACCUUUUGUGGAGAGGACUUCCACCAGUUGUCUUGGGAAAGGUAUGACAACACCUGUGAUUAGGGCUCCAAUGGGCUGGACGCUGUGAUGAACCCUUAACCAUUGUUCAAAUGUUGCCCAUACCCCCUCUGACUCAGUCUCUUGCCUCAGCAUUCCCUAACCCAGCAACCGAGUUUUAGUCAAUCAAGUUUAAAUAGGCCUCCCAUAGUGGGACCAGGGAAUGUACGGCCCGAGAUGCCUAUUAAACUUAGAGGUGUGUGUGUGUUUGUGGGGGGGAAGUCCUUAGUAAAUCCAGAUUAGAACUGGUCUGAUAAAUGCUGAGCUGGGUGUGUGUGAACAUGGGUUGAUUAACAUUUGGAGCACAGAUUCCCCAUCAUGCAGUGCUCCCCUGCUUCUAUGGUCCCAGAAUUCACUGCAGUCUCUGCUUCAGGCUUUCUGUUCUCCGUGUCUCAUGUAAAUGAAUGGUCAUCUGGUUCCAUCUCGGAUGCAAAUGAGACCUAGGGCAGUUGUUUCACUCUUGCCACCAUUAUCUUGAGGGUCUUAGGUGUGUCUCUCACUGCAUCUUAAUAAGUUUCAUUUAUGUAGAGAAGGGGAGGGGGGGGGUGACUCAGACAGACUGCAUCCUGUGCCUGGGUUCCCAAGAACACACAGAGCUGAGACGUAACAAGUGCUUUCUUCACUGCAAAUGAAAUUCAAUCCUGCCUUAAAGGGCAAGUCUGAGACCUGCUCUACCACAGUAGACUCAAGAAGAGCUUAUUUAGACUAAGACAUUGCAUUGUGUUACAACACAAACUUAAUGAGUUCAUGCAACUUGCAUGAUGUUAACCAUGCCUAGGCACCUGUAAUUACAUGAUGACAAUGGUAGAACUGGCAGGCCAAGCCUACCAUGAGAGCAACAUCUUGAGCUAGUUAUAAAUAAAUAUAAAUUAUUCUAUUUCCGGGAAAAUGCAUUUACAAUUUUGUUAAUGACCAGGAAUCCUCAAGGUCAAAUUCUAACACAAUUAUAGUUCCCCAGCAUAAAUGAAGCAUUAUGGCCACAUCUAUACACCGUAGAACUGAUCUUCAUACCAGCCUACACUUGCUUUCUCAUCCUGGCAAGUAACUUUCUCUCUCUGUGCCUUGGUUAUGCUAGCAGUAGAAAAGACAUAAUGCUUCACCCACACUAACCCAAGAGGAACAUAAUCUUUUUAGUUUUUUUUUUUUCCUUGUCAGAGCCUGCCUGCCUGCCUGCCUGAGCUACACAGGGACCCCUGAGCUGCACUUCCCUCUUUGGCUGGGGGGGAGCUGGUGCUUCCCUCCAUGGCUGUGGCAUCCCCCAGAACCUGCCAGCAGGUGGGUGCCAAAUGGGAGAGCACUGCCACUGCAGAGGGAAGCACCAGACCCCCCACAGUUCAGGGACCAUUUGGUCUGCUGGCAGCUUGCCCCCCACCCACCACAGAAGAGUCAGGUAAGCUCUGAGGAUCAGGCCCCCACCCUCGUGUAUACACCACAGGGGCUUAGUUCGGUUUAGUUCUCCCUAAAUUGAAACAGCGGAAACAGUGGGUUUUUAAAAACCCACAAUUUCAAUUUAGGGAGAACUAAAUCAAAUUAAACCCCCAUCGCAUAUACAAGUACCCUUUGGGAUCAGUUAAUAAAGAAUAGUACUAGGUAAGUAUAAAACCUUUUCAGUAUUAUUUAUCAUUGGUUUGUGGCCCAAGUUCCACUUACUCUGUAUAUAAAAUCAAAGAUGUUUUAAAAUGCAGAUAUACUAAAGCAGAAACAGGAAUAAGUUUGCAGAAACAGAAAUAAGUUUCUUCAAUUCAGCAAAUAAUGCAUCAUAUUCUGGCACCCACUGAAAAACCUCUCAACAAUUUUCUGUGCCUGUUUAGAAUGGUUGUGCUGUGCUGGUGGUCCCAGACAUUAACCUUCUCUAUAUGAAAGAGAGUUUUGAAAGCAGCCAGUUCUCUACUACCUCAGUUUCCUUUGUCAUAUGAAAUUCCUGUCUUACUGAUUGUCCAAUUGAGGUAUGUUUUCUCUUUCUGAAAUAGUUCACAUUACUUUGGGUUCCAUUUGAAACUGACAUUUUAAAGUGGAUUAGAGCCCAUCUGUUAAAGGCAUCAUCUUUGACUCAAAAGAUUUAGCUUAUACCACAAUACCAUCCACAUAUAAAAGACAAGCUGAAAGAGGCAUGCUAUGCAGUGUCCUCUCCAUAAACUUUUCAAAGGUCACUGGUAUAUAGUAUGAUACAAAAGAUAUUCAAUUAUCAUGUUCAUUGUUCUGCUUUAAAAGCAGUUUUCCUCCUGUCUUUUCUUUUAGAUCCACAUCCACAUACCAAUAGCUGCUUCAAGUACCAGUGAGCAACACCAGAUUUGCUCAGCUAUACCUUCCAGCCUAUUCUCCCUUCUCUACAAAGAAAACCUGCAUCCCUGCUGAUCAGUGUCAAUGUUAGCUCAAUUCUCGAGCAGUCACACUUCUGGCCAGUAGGGACCUGGAAGACUGAAAGAAAUGUUUAUGGAAGAAUACAGGGCAUAGUCCAAGAUCUGUGGUUUAGUAAGUGAGGCAAGAUGCUGAUUAACUUACCUUGAACUGUAUGCAUGACUGUGGGCUUCGUGACUCUCGGUUUACCAUAAACCCUGGUUUUGACUCCUGGUUCCCUGUGAACCCAGCUUCUGAACUUCACCCAGAGUACUGGGAAUGGUGCCCCUGAGUACCCAGAGUGCCAGAAGACCCACCACUCAAUUUCAAGAGCAUGUGCUGGGAGCAUUUUAAAUCUGUUUGAAAUGUUUAAAAUGUUAUGUCUGCCUGCACCCUAAUGGAAUAGAGAAUCAAACUCAUUACUUCUAAGGUCAUAAUUAUAAGCUAAUCACACCUAUCUGCAAACUUGUUAAACCAUCUCCUUUGUGAUUUUUGUCAAGGCUUACACUGUGUUCUACGGAAACUGUUUUCUGCUCAAGCAGAAGCAAAUUUGAACCAUCAUUUGAAAUAUGACUGCACCAGAGAUUUCACAAUCUUGUUAGAUUUACAUUUAUGCUUUGAUAUUUUGCAAAUGCAAAAUUAAUAAUUGGAUUCUUAAAUAUCUAUUCCUUUCAUUAGGGAAGUGGGAUUUACAUCCCAAUGAAUCCUAAUGUAACACAUUAUACUAUACUGAACACUCAAAUCUUUUAAUCUUUUUUUGUUGUUGUUCUGGUGAAAAUAUAAAAAAAUAUUUUUAUUUUUUUUAACACUUCUAUAAUUUGAAUGGGGAAAGCUACACAUUCCCAAAGUAACAAUGUUCUGAAUUAUACAUUCUUCAUUUAUAUCCAGUCAUUAUUGUUUGAUGACUGCUUAGUGCCUUAUGUUAAAUUGGUUGGAUGGUUAUAAUCUGAUUCCUGAUGGAGCUGGGUCUAUAAUAAAAACCAAACAAAUAAAAAAAGGAAACAAGAAAGUAUCCUUGUGUUUAAUGCUAUUUUAUAUUGGUUAUAGUUUCAACAGAGA